rnacentral:rRNA from 1 species
GACGAACGCUGGCGGCGUGCCUAAUACAUGCAAGUCGAACGCAUUUUCUUUCACCGUAGCUUGCUACACCGAAAGAAAAUGAGUGGCGAACGGGUGAGUAACACGUUGGUAACCUGCCCAUCAGCGGGGGAUAACACUUGGAAACAGGUGCUAAUACCGCAUAAUUCCAUUUACCGCAUGGUAAAUGGAUGAAAGGCGCUUUUGCGUCACUGAUGGAUGGACCCGCGGUGCAUUAGCUAGUUGGUGGGGUAACGGCCUACCAAGGCUGCGAUGCAUAGCCGACCUGAGAGGGUGAUCGGCCACACUGGGACUGAGACACGGCCCAGACUCCUACGGGAGGCAGCAGUAGGGAAUCUUCGGCAAUGGACGCAAGUCUGACCGAGCAACGCCGCGUGAGUGAAGAAGGUUGUCGGAUCGUAAAACUCUGUUGUUAGAGAAGAACAAGGAUGAGAGUGGAAAGUUCAUCCCUUGACGGUAUCUAACCAGAAAGCCACGGCUAACUACGUG